CCUACGGGUGGCAGCAGUGGGGAAUAUUGGGCAAUGGGCGCAAGCCUGACCCAGCAACGCCGCGUGAAGGAAGAAGGCUUUCGGGUUGUAAACUUCUUUUCUCAGGGACGAAGCAAGUGACGGUCCCUUAGGAAUAAGCCACGUCUAACUACGGGCCAGCAGCCGCGGUAAUACGUAGGUCGCAAGCGUUAUCCGGAUUUUCUGGGUGUAAGGGGCGUGUAGGCGGGACUGCACGUCAGAUGUGAAAACCACGGGCACAACCUGUGGCCUGCAGUGGAAACUGUAGUGCUUGAGUGCGGGAGAGGCAGACGGAAUUCCUAGUGUAGCGGUGAAAUGCGUAGAUAUUAGGAGGAACACCAGUGGCGAAGGCGG
rnacentral:rRNA from 1 species